rnacentral:rRNA from 1 species
CACGUAGGCACCAAGCGUUGUCCGGAUUUAUUGGGCGUAAAGAGCUCGUAGGCGGUUUGUUGCGUCGGCUGUGAAAUCCCGAGGCUCAACCUCGGGUCUGCAGUCGAUACGAGCAAACUAGAGUGUUGCAGGGGAGACUGGAAUUCCUGGUGUAGCGGUGAAAUGCGCAGAUAUCAGGAGGAACACCGGUGGCGAAGGCGGGUCUCUGGGCAACAACUGACGCUGAGGAGCGAAAGCGUGGGGAGCGAACAGG